GCACCUCUCAGAAUUUCAAGGAAGCUCAUGGGAUUCAUCAAUGGUGGAAGCUGGAUUUGCAGUUGAGGUAUAAACUUUACCAAUACAAGUGUUUAAUCAAAUUUGUGGCAAUUAAUUCUCUGAAAAAAAAAUUGUGUGGCGUUGAAGAAAUAGUUGACUUUAUUGUUACAACUUUGACUUAUAUAGAUUCAAUACAGCAUAACUGAAAUCUAGACCAUGACAACAAGUCCUCUCUUUAUAACAGUGUGUUUAAUGUCUUGAAGAGAGUUCUGCAAAUCAUCUCAGAGUUGAUGAGAAUUAUGUUUUUUUUUUUUCCUUUUCCGAUAGGCCCGAAACAAGUUUCUGUUAUUUUAGUUCUGACCGAGUGUCAUUUUUUUUAGCUGCCCUAAAAUAUGUGGCAUAUUUCAGCAUUUUGGCCCUUUUUUAUUUUUUAUAUUUUAUUUUGAGAAAAUUUAAUAGAAGUUGUUAAUCUUCCUUCUCGAUUCGGCGAGAUUUUGUGGCUGGAAUCUGUUUUACAGUGUUUGAGGGACCAAAACAAAUGCUUCAACUCGACAUCUGACUUUUGUGCGCCAAUGUUGUUGAAUAUGCAAGGACGGUAUUUAGCUUCUGUUUUUGUAGUUCUAAUUUCACCUUCCCCAACUUAAAGUUGCACCUCCUCCACAAUUAUUACUUAAUGUUUGCCUUCUCAUAUUUAUUUAAUUUCAAUAAAAGUUUGUUCAUUUUCGUUUUUGGAAGCCUCUUCUAAGGGUGUUGUCUUCAAUUAACGACGAUAAAAUUUCCAAUAAGUUUUUUGGUAUAAUGAAUUUCAUUCGUGUUUUACUAUCCAAACACUUGCCACUCUGCAUUUACAGCCACUUCUAGCCAUUACGGAGAUUGGGCCCUGCUUGCAGAACUUGGAAGCGAACUGCACAAUAUUCUUCAUGUCGACGUGACCACAGGAUGGUUGGGUGAUGCCUUCUGUCAUAUCAAAAAGAUUCUGCAUUCGUAGAUGCAUGAGGCGAAAAUUGAUGCCCUUUAAGCAUAAUCGAGAUCUCAGGUUGCGAUAAAAGCAACCUUAUCAGGUCUAUUACACGUAAUUAAACCUUGAUAAUGACAAAUGUUAUUACCAAGUUUCAGCAUAUAUAGUAUGGCAUAAAAUAGUUGUCUCGAGGUUUUCCAAUAAUAUUGGGGGCCGGAAUUUCUACUUAUGAAAAAGUCGAUAGGAAUUUUAUGCUUUUUUUUCUCUUCCCCCCCUCCCCCCAAAAAAUAUAUUAGAAGGGCAAUGCAUGUCUUUGAGGUUGUUGAACAGAGAAGAAACCGAUUUCAAAUCCUAAGAGUACAAAACUCUUGCAUUCAAAUGGUUUUAUCUAUUUAAGCUGCUCCCCCCUUUUUUUUCUUUAAACAAGUAGUUAAUUUGUUUUUUCGAAUUUACUCAAUUCUCUCGUGAUAGAGAUUAGCUCAGUUGCUAGCUGAUAAUAGCACAAGAGACUAUGAUUUUUUUUACGAAGAGUACUUCCUCGCAUGAUGGCAAGAGUGUUGACCUGGAACAAGAACGUAAGUUCAACGAGCUUAAAGCUUCUGACACAGUGGAAGCACCUGCACGAAUCAUUGGUUCUCAGGCGACUGAAAAAAAGGGAGCUACAUGUGUACUGAACUUCUGAUUUAAGGAAUUGGAUAAGAACAGACUUGGGAGGUAAUUAGGGUGGCAGAACUUUUGGAACAGCAGGAUAUAUUAUUCAAAUGAGGAAAAUGCUGUAAUCCGUCAAAGGCUCAUGUUCUUCGAUUGAUUGAAAAAUGUAGUAAUCGUACAAGCAGAUGUAAGUUUAAUAUUCCGAUGCAUGUGAAAAAUUAGUAGACAAACAAAUACAUUGUUGAGUUACGGGCUUGAUUCUGCCAACAUACUAUGUAUGAUCUUUUUUGGUAUUAUAUAAGUGCAAUCAUAUCUGA